GUUUUCAGGAUUAUCAUCAUUAUGUUCAUUUUUAUUUUUUGUUUUUCCACUUCUAAGACCUCAGCAGUGUUGCCACCUAUAUUGUUCAUGAUAUCCCUUAUCACUUUGAUAUCAUCCCAAUAUGUAUUGACAUUCUCUUCAUAGAUCUUAACUGUCAAGUCAGUAUUUAGCUUACAUGUUCUUAUGUCUGUUUUGUGCUCUUCAAUUCUAGUGUUUUAGGCAUCUUUUGUUCCUACCUAUGUAUUUCUCAUGUUUUCAUAUAGAAUUUUUGUAGAUUGGGACUGCAUAUAUUCCUGAUCAUCUUGAGAUGCUCAUCAGAUCCUUAUCAUUUCUUAGAGUUACAAAUAUGGUAUUUUUUCUCUUGUAUACUGGCUUGUAUGGAUUGUCUCUGGCAAGUUCUUUCACGAUUUUGUCUAUUAUUGGAUUGUAUAUGAGAGGAUAUGGCAGUUGGUGUUGGCAUGGCUGGUUAUUACUUUGUGAUAAUGUCAUUGUGGUAUCAUUGGCUAUUGAUUUAAUAUUAUUAUAUACAGGUAGCUCUCAGUUUAUGCUGCAGUUCCGUUCCUACAAAAGACAGCGCAAAUUGAAUUGCCGUAAAAAUGAAC
rnacentral:lncRNA from 1 species